rnacentral:tRNA from 1 species
GGGCCCGUGGCGCAGGCAGGAAGCGCGGUGACCGCAGAAGCCACAGGUCCCGGGUUCAAGUCCCGGCGGGCCCGCCA